GAAAUGCGAUACGUAGUGUGAAUUGCAGAAUUCCGUGAAUCAUCAAAUCUUUGAACGCAUAUUGCGCUCAAGGCUUCGGCCAAGAGCAUGUCUGCCUCAGCGUCGGGUUUAUAUCGCUUCUCUUCUUCCCAUUGAAUUAAUACCUCAGUGGGGAGUAAAGGAGCGGAUCUGGCUGUUCCAGCGAGUUGGUGCCUUUAACCGCACCUAUUCACGAGCUGGAUCGGCUGAAGAACAGAGGUUAGUCAAGGACCCGUCAAGGGCCGCAACUGGGUAGGCAGCUCACGCUCGCUAUUUCUAGUUGUUGGCUUGGAUCUCUGGCUUGACCCUCAAACAGGAACCCUUUAUUUUCUCGACCUGAGCUCAGGCAAGAACACCCGCUGAACUUAA
rnacentral:misc_RNA from 1 species